AUUGAACGCUGGCGGCAGGCCUAACACAUGCAAGUCGAACGAGUGGCGGACGGGUGAGUAAUGUCUGGGGAUCUGCCCGAUGGAGGGGGAUAACUACUGGAAACGGUAGCUAAUACCGCAUACCAUCGGAUGAACCCAUAUGGGAUUAGCUAGUAGGUGGGGUAACGGCUCACCUAGGCGACGAUCCCUAGCUGGUCUGAGAGGAUGACCAGCCACACUGGGACUGAGACACGGUCCAGACUCCUACGGGAGGCAGCAGUGGGGAAUAUUGCACAAUGGGCGCAAGCCUGAUGCAGCCAUGCCGCGUGUAUGAAGAAGGCCUGCGGGUUGUAAAGUACUUUCAGUGAGGAGGCGUUACCGACAGAAGAAGCACCGGCUAACUCCGUGCCAGCAGCCGCGGUAAUUC
rnacentral:rRNA from 1 species